rnacentral:rRNA from 1 species
UACGUAGGGGGCAAGCGUUGUCCGGAUUUACUGGGCGUAAAGAGCGCGUAGGCGGAAGCUUAAGUGUGGCCUGAAAGCCCCCGGCUCAACCGGGGAGGGUGGCUGCAAACUGGGUUUCUUGAGGGCGGCAGAGGAGAGUGGAAUUCCUGGUGUAGCGGUGAAAUGCGUAGAGAUCAGGAGGAACACCCGUGGCGAAGGCGGCUCUCUGGCCCGAUACUGACGCUGAGGCACGAAAGCGUGGGGAGCAAACAGG